rnacentral:rRNA from 1 species
AACGCGUGAGAAUCUGGCUUCAGGUCUGGGACAACCACUGGAAACGGUGGCUAAUACCGGAUGUGCCGAGAGGUAAAAGGCUUGCUGCCUGAAGAUGAGCUUGCGUCUGAUUAGCUAGUUGGUGAGGUAAAGGCUCACCAAGGCGACGAUCAGUAGCUGGUCUGAGAGGAUGAUCAGCCACACUGGGACUGAGACACGGCCCAGACUCCUACGGGAGGCAGCAGUGGGGAAUUUUCCGCAAUGGGCGAAAGCCUGACGGAGCAAUACCGCGUGAGGGAGGAAGGCUCUUGGGUUGUAAACCUCUUUUCUCAGGGAAGAAAAAAAUGACGGUACCUGAGGAAUAAGCAUCGGCUAACUCCGUGCCAGCAGCCGCGGUAAUACGGAGGAUGCAAGCGUUAUCCGGAAUGAUUGGGCGUAAAGGGUCCGCAGGUGGCUAUGUAAGUCUGCUGUUAAAGAGCGAGGCUCAACCUCGUAAGAGCAGUGGAAACUACAUAACUAGAGUGCGUUCGGGGCAGAGGGAAUUCCUGGUGUAGCGGUGAAAUGCGUAGAUAUCAGGAAGAACACCGGUGGCGAAAGCGCUCUGCUAGGCCGCAACUGACACUGAGGGACGAAAGCUAGGGGAGCGAAUGGGAUUA